rnacentral:rRNA from 1 species
AACGAACGCUGGCGGCAUGCCUAACACAUGCAAGUCGAACGAGACCUUCGGGAUUAGUGGCGGACGGGUGAGUAACGCGUGGGAACAUACCCUUUGGUACGGAAUAGCCCCGGGAAACUGGGAGUAAUACCGUAUGUGGUCGAGAGACGAAAGAUUUAUCGCCAAAGGAUUGGCCCGCGUUGGAUUAGGUAGUUGGUGGGGUAAUGGCCUACCAAGCCGACGAUCCAUAGCUGGUUUGAGAGGAUGAUCAGCCACACUGGACUGAGACACGGCCCAGACUCCUACGGGAGGCAGCAGUGGGGAAUCUUAGACAAUGGGGGAAACCCUGAUCUAGCCAUGCCGCGUGAUCGAUGAAGGCCUUAGGGUUGUAAAGAUCUUUCAGGUGGGAAGAUAAUGACUGUACCACCAGAAGAAGCCCCGGCUAACUCCGUGCCAGCCGCCGCCGUAACAC